rnacentral:lncRNA from 1 species
UGAACAUUGCUGCAGAAAAAUCGUGUUUUCCGGGAAUGUAUGAACCGGUAAAAAAUAAGCGUAACUCUAUUGGGUCAUUUUUUGUGUUCGCUGAUUGCGAAUGUUUGCAAG